GACGUAGGGGGCAAGCGUUUGUCCGGAAUCAUUGGGCGUAAAGCGCGUGUAGGCGGCCUUGUAAGUCCGUUCUGAAAGCCCGGGGCUCAACCCCGGGAGGCGGAUGGAUACGUGCAGGGCUCGAGUACGGAAGAGGCGAGUGGAAUUCCCGGUGUAGCGGUGAAAUGCGCAGAUAUCGGGAGGAACACCAAUGGCGAAGGCAGCUCGCUGGGACGUUACUGACGCUGAGACGGCGAAAGCGUGG
rnacentral:rRNA from 1 species